rnacentral:ncRNA from 1 species
ACUUUGGCUGUGACAAGGAGCAGUAAUCGACUGACGUUACUCAGAGAGCCGGCGGAUGGUGCAAGCCGGUUAGCGUUCACGAUGAACUCGCCUUGGAGCCUCCGAGCUGAACGGAUUCCUCCGAUAAGCCCGGCGUCGCCCGCGUUAAGGGAUACAAGUGGGCGGUAACCCAAGAAGGGUGCCGUCAACUAGGGUGGUACCACGGGAAUAAAUCCUCUCGUCCCUAGC